rnacentral:lncRNA from 1 species
GAUGUCAUCCAUGUUGCACUGACUUCGAUCCUCCAAUCCUUAUUAUGCAAAAAAUAAAAACGUCACAAGGAAUGAGUGACUACACUGUCCAUCCCCCAUUAUACAAAAAAUGAUGAUGUCACAAGGAUCAGUUACUACACUGUCCACCAUUUUGAAAAAUAGGUGGAGGGUGCGGAUAUGAACAGUUUGCUACUCACUUACUCCCAAGGGACAUACUAUUUUAUUACGACUUAGUUUUUACGUCCAUGACAUCUCUAUCGCCCCCCUCUUCUACGUUACUAAUUAAUAAUGAUUUUUAUUUCCCUCGAAGUGCAUUCAACUCAGAAAAUAUAAUCAUUUCAUCAUCGUAAUUCCUUUACGGUUGCGCCGAGGAAGAAGAAGAGUGGACCCCCCUUUCUUUGUCUUAACUUGAGGAGGAAAAUCAUUUCAUGGUACUGCUCAUAUAAUAAUACUCAUACGACCUAAUACUACGUAUUAUAUUUAUAAUAUAAAUCAAUUUCCUCAUAUGCAUGCAUGAAAUGUGUACGCCAUCGUCACUCACUCACUACUCUCUGGAUGCCUGCUUGGUUAAGAGAACGAACGCUAAGACUCUUUGUUCCAUUUGGUUAUUAUUGCGAGAAAGGAUCCUCAUCCUUGAAAGUUGGAAAAGAAAUUAUGUACAUAUAUGGCUUGAAAAAUGCGCGUGUGAUUUGUAGAGUCGUGUCCUUCAGGCUUUUAUUCUGUGAUUAUUCCUCUUCUCUAUUAUAUUUUGUAACUUAUAGGUAGGGGAUGAAGCAAGGAUCUUUUCGGUCACUUAUCAUAAGUACGUCAUAAUGCACAUCUACAGGAAAGGAAAAUACCUGUCAAAACGAUUUAAUUAGAAAAUAAGUCAUUUAUAAUGUUUCUAAUCAUAUUAUCAGUGAAUAUAUAAAUGAUAUGUAUUCGCUCUUUUAGAGUGCCAAAUAAGCUAUGCUUCACCUUUUAAUACCUCACUCAACAGUACAGAGUUACAUAUUAUUAUAAAAUACGUAUGUAUCAAAAGAAGGUGUUUUUCUUCUCCCCUUACUUAUUAUAAUAUGUAUUUUGACUUAUGUAGGCCGUACAUUGUUCAUACGGUAUAGGUACAUAGUGCAGAUAGAUGGAAUUAGUACAAAAUUGUAUACUUCAUAAUAAUGAUAGCGAGUCUUUAUAGAUACAAGACUCAAUUUAUAAGUUGUACCUUAACGUUACCUCCUUACAUUUUAUGUAAAGCAAAUGCACAGAUAAGCAAACAGGUGUGUUUUGUUACAUACGUUCAGUUUGUUGAUGCUUCACUCUAUUUAAAAAAAAAAACAAAAAAACUAUACACUCUUAACGUAUAUACAUUGUCUAUGUACUAUUUCUAAUAUACAUAUUCUAUUGAUGAAUAAUUUCCCUGGUGUACUAAAAAUAUAUUGGAAAGAUUGUAUUUGUAUUCAUUCAACAAUAAUUACCACCAAGCCAUUUAUCAAAGACUAUGUACGUCAAUUGAUAUUUUACAUCCGCUUAAACAAGAUAUUUAUAAAGGGAUUUGGAUUAAAUCAUGAUGAUUAUAACAUAUUAAAGAGAUCUUGAAUACUAAUAAAAUCAGAGAGGGAAACUGCCCUUAUAUGUGAUAUGGAUAAUUAGUAAUAUACUACCUCAACCCCUUGACAUUUACACUUAUAAAUUACACAUACCGGUUGUUCAAAAAGUCUUUGAUUGUGCUACAAAUAACCAUGUGCAACAGCACACAGAAUGACGUUGUAGAGGAAAAUUUUAAAAAUACUUUUUUAUUUCCACAUAAUAAAGAUUAUUUUUUAUGAGUUUGAUUUCCACCAGAUUCAAUUACAGUCUCCAGAUGAGGUCAGAAGGCAGUACAUACAUAAUUAUCAAUAUAAGUUGUAGACGUCUUCCUCUAAUGAGACUCCUCAAAGGCUCUGAGGUUUGUGAUGCUACUUUGGUGGAUUCUACAGGCUUUGACUCAAAAUGCAUGCAUCCAUUUUUAAAAAUCCAAAGGAUUCAAAUCGAAGGACUGGGGAGUUCAAAAGUCUUUGGGGCGGAAAUUCAUGUUUUUUUUUCUAAUCCUAGCUUAUUGAUCAACCACUUGUAGGCCAAUCCCUAAGGCUUCCUCCACUCGAGCGAUUUUAUCACUCUUCUAACAUGGUGAAAUUGUGUUCAAAUCAUGUAGGUAUACUACCCUGUGUCAACGCCUCAUACGUCGAAUUGACAUUGAAAACAACUAUUAUGGAUGAUUUUUAAGUAAAAUAUAUAAAUCAAACCGAGGAGCCUACUUAAUUCGAAAUGAAUAACUUAGACGCUAGUUUGAGGAAAUAAUAGGUGAAGAGAGAAAUUCAUUUCAUAUUUUUCGCUUUACUUCAAUACCUUAUAAGAUGUAUAUUAUGAAUCUGUAUAGUUGUAUUUGUUAAUCCAAUACAAAACAA